rnacentral:tRNA from 1 species
GGGGUUGUGGCUCAGCGGUAGAGCUCAUGCCUAGUGCAUGUGAGGCACUGGGUUCGAUCCCCAGCACCACA